AACGAACGCUGGCGGCAGGCUUAACACAUGCAAGUCGAGCGCCCCGCAAGGGGAGCGGCAGACGGGUGAGUAACGCGUGGGAAUCUACCCAGCCCUUCGGAAUAGCUCCGGGAAACUGGAAUUAAUACCGAGUACGCCCUACGGGGGAAAGGAUUUAUCGGGGUUGGAUGAGCCCGCGUUGGAUUAGCUAGUUGGUGGGGUAAUGGCCUACCAAGGCGACGAUCCAUAGCUGGUCUGAGAGGANGAUCAGCCAC
rnacentral:rRNA from 1 species